GUCCCUUUGGGGUCAUCCGAUAAACUUGAAACAAUAUAGAGAAGAUUAACAUGAUCCCUGCGCAAGGAUGACACACACAAAUAGAAAAUAAUCAUCAAUUCU
rfam:Capsicum annuum cultivar Zunla-1 chromosome 9, whole genome shotgun sequence